UUGACCUCGGAUCAGGUAGGGAUACCCGCUGAACUUAAGCAUAUCAAUAAGCGGAGGAAAAGAAACCAACAGGGAUUGCCUCAGUAACGGCGAGUGAAGCGGCAAGAGCUCAAAUUUGAAAGCUGGCCCCCUCGGGGUCCGCAUUGUAAUUUGCAGAGGAUGCUUCGGGAGUGGCCCCCAUCUAAGUGCUCUGGAACGGGCCGUC
rnacentral:rRNA from 2 species